UUUCUUUUUUUCUCCCCUUAAGAUUAUCUAAGAGCUUUGCCAUUUACAGGCAAAAAUUCUAACCAAGGCAUGUCAUCUGGUACCACAACCCUACUGCAGUGAGAAAAGAAAUUUCACAGGACAAGCGACAGGUCUAAACUCUAUAAGCUCAACAUUAUCGUGCAGGUCCUAGAACAUAAGUGAAUAAAUGAAUGGGACAGCAAAGGAACAGAGGGGUUAACACAAUCAAAUGCAGCCUUAAAAAGUAUCUCCCUGCAUGGAAGCCAGAGCUGUUACUAAGAGACCCAAAAGGAAGCUGCUGGAGCAGUUGGGUUGUUGAAUAGUGGUGAUUUUUGCAUUCAAAACGACAUGAUGCAAUCAUGAAAGAGAAGAAGGGGAUAAGAUGGAGGUGGAAGCUUAAAUCAUAAGCAGAUGGGACAUAAUCAUUUGAAAAUGUAGUUAAAAUAAAUCUAUUUGAAAUAAAUAUCCUUGUAUCAGCGGAACAGUGUUGGCUGGUAAAAGUUCAGCCU
rnacentral:lncRNA from 1 species